UGCAGGAGGGCGGGGCCUCACUGGGGGAUGCCCCCAGGCUUGAUUCCUUCCUGCUGUGAGUCUGGCUGCCCUGCUGCUCUUGCACUUCACUCCCGACCGCCCCAUGAGACGGAGCUUUCCUGCCAGGUUGGCUUCACACUUGGUGCCCAAGUGUGGGAAACAAGGACCCUACCUUCGCUGAAGAAGUCUCCGGUGACCAGGAACUUAGUUACUUCAGUCAAGUCUGACUCUUCAGGAUCCCACUUGAAAAGAUAUUACCCAGCUCAUUUAUGAGGUACUAAGGCAAACAAGUUACUCUUAAUUUUAAAACUUUGAAGACUGUGUUGGUAAAUUAGGUAAGUGUCCUUAGUGCUUACUAAUUGCCUUCUCAUCCAUUUCAGAAAUAAAUACAACAUACUAAACAAAAAGCUCUAAGUGAAUGUUAACUUAUUUAUUGGACCCAUAGCAUCCUUUAUAAUCUAAAGACUAACUUGAGAAAGUUAAAAAAAUUCAGUCUAUAAAAAGCCUAGUAACACAUUUGUUUGACUAAUCUUGCAUACCUUGAGCUGUGAAGUUUUUAUUUAAAGUACUGAUCUAUGUGGAAGAGAAAACCCAUGCUUUCAAGGAAAGUUUUUCAAACACUAUCUAAAAUCAUGAUAAUAAGCCAAAUAAAUUUGCAAAGUGAUUUAGCCUCUCUCACCUUCUAUUUCUCUCUCCUUCAUGCCAUCAACUAAUUACAUACUGAAAGAUCCCAAAAUACAGAUUUUGAAGCAGAAAUAAAAGAUAAAGCUUUGUCAUCUCUACAAUAACUACCUAUAUAUCUUGGGAAGCAAAGACAAUUGGCAAAACAUCACCAACAUAUGCUAGAGAUGAGAUCUUUCUUAUCUAUAGGGGAAAUCUUGGAAACCAUCUUUGAUGCUGGCUCUAUAAGCCAUCUGGGCUGCUGCCACACCAAGCAGUUGAUCUGACACCUCAGGCACUAAUCCAGAUGGCUUAAAAUUCGAUUGAAGCCCUUAAGACCUUCAUCCCACUUCAAAUUCCAGCUGUUCUAAGGUCCCAUAUAACUACAAAAAUAUUCCUCAAUAAGUUCAUUAAGCUACAUAAGUUUUAUUUACAUGAACUGGCUUUUCUUUCUCUUAGUAAGGCUGAUGAUUUACCACAAAGUCAUUUCUAAAAGGCUCUACUUCUAAGUGAUAAUAAAAUGUGAGCAAAAAAAACUUGAUUGAUUUUCUUUUUAAUUUAUCCCUUUUCCAGAAAUGAAAUCAGACAUAUAGCAUUACUGAAAAAAAAAUUGCUAUUUCAUCUUGUUUUUGCAUAAGAGAGCAAUUUGGAACCAUUGAAUGUAGCUUCCUAAAUGCUAUCAAUUCCACUCUUCUUUAUAUUGUCCAGGUGCAAAACAUCUAUAAUAUGUGAACUUAUAGACUUAGUUUGUGGACUCCUCACCUAAAAUUAUGUCAUAAUUUGUGCAAUAUGCAUCUUCAUCUAAUUGGUUAUUCCUAUAUGAAUUAUUGGAUCAGUCUCUUGAAUUGUUAAAGAUAAAAUUUAAGAGGUCUUAGCUAUAUUAAUCUUAGCAUUCUUAUUAUAAAUGAAAUAAAACUAAUAAGAAACUGCUAUUAAAUGAAAUGAUAGUUCUCAUAUUUUCCCUUAGACAAGUAUAAGAGAUAGGACAGGUGACUCCAUAUUGCCCUCAAAUGAUGUCAUUUUAUGAGUUGCUUGUUCAUCUUGCUUUGGAUUGCUUAAGAUGAACAAAAGGAAACACUAUAAAAAUAAAGACUAUGUGUUUUGGGUUUUUUUGUCAUAAAGAUUCCACAAAGAACUGACAAUAUCCUCAAAAUCAAGUCAAUGAAAUAUCUACUACAAAGGGAAAUGAACAAAGGAAAAUUCUAUUCUGGAUCUCAUUCUCAGUAAAAAGAAAGAACUGGUUGCUUAAAUAAAAGUUAUGUAAAUCUUUUUAAUUUCAUUUAUGGGAGAUUUAUUAAUAAGUGGAAAUAUUUUAACUUUCUACUAUAUGCAAGACAAUUUUCUAGGCAUUAGAAAUAAGGGGACAAAUUUAGUCCCAGUGCCUCAACAAUAUGGGGAUUGUGUGAUACAGUACAAAGAAUGUAUCAGAAAACCUAAAUUUGAAUGCCAAUUUUGACACUUAAUGCCUUUGAGACCUCAGCAAAUUUCUUAAAUCCUCUGGAUCUCAUUCUGCUUAUUUGCAACCCUUGGAGGUUGAACUAAACGACCUCUAAAAACCCUUCUGGAGCUAAAUCUUUUAUUCUGCUUACUAUAUAUGAAAACAAAGAAUUCUUUCUUUAGUUAAAGAGUAUUAACUGAAAAGAUCUGGAAUAUUCUUAUAUAGUAAGUAGCACUUAAAAUGAAAAAUAAUGGCAUAAUCGAAAAUGAAGAACAACUUUUAUAAGGGCAUAGAGGUGGAAGAUUGAACCCACUUAGAACAAUUUGGAAGCAAGUAGAACAAUAUGGCAGAAACAUAAAGUGUGAAAUAGUAAACAAAGUAAAAUAAAUCAGGAAAGAUAAGUUAGAGAAAGAUUAUGAAAGUCUUUAUGUAUUACAUGCAUCAUAUCAUAUCUCAAAACCAGUAAGGAGCCACUGAAACUUCUUUUUUCUUUUAUUUAUUUAUUUUAAACUUAAAGCCACUGAAAUUUCUUGAGCAGGGAACUGGUAUGGUCAGACUUAUGCUUUGAGAAUAUCAAUUUGGGAGUAGUAUAAAUGAUGAGGGGAGAGGAGAAUGACUUGUAUCUGAAAAAACAUUUAGUAGCUUACUGAAUUAGACUAGGUGAGAGGUAGUAACUGGCUGAAGUAGGAUCUUAGUCAUGCAAAUAGAAAAAAGAGAAUAUAUAUAUACACAUAUACAUAUAUAUGUAUGUAUAUGAAUGAUGAUGUAGAAGUAGAAUCAAUUAGUCUUGGGAAAUGGUCAACAUGAAACUUGGGGAGGGGGACAUGGCCAGUUCAUCUUAAGAAUUUUAGUUAAAGAGAGAGGAUAGGUGAAAAGAGUCUAAUAUUAAACCUACCUUUUUGGAGAAAAUAUUUGAAAGAGUUUGUAGAAAGAUGAUCUUUGGAUCAAAAAUUGACAGAAUAGAAACCUCUCGAAAUUUAUAUUCUAGAGAUAUAAAUAAAAACAGUUCCAGUGAAGAGAAAAAGGCAUAAUUUUCUAAUGACACUAAUGUGGAAACACAUACACUCCAUUCACCAAGCAACUUGGAUAUUUAAAAAGACAUGUAUGAAAAACAGAAGCAAGAAGUAAAAAAGGAUGGCUAUAAUUUCCUGAAAUGCUUUGAAGAUGCCUCGGUUUUCCAGGAUUCAUUCAAGUCUCAGAAAAUGUUCCACUGUUUGAAAGAAAAUUUAAAAUCUUCAUUCUUUCUCUCCUAGACUAUGCA